rnacentral:ribozyme from 1 species
AUCAAUUAUAUUCAAAAAAAAAAAAAAAAAACAAAACCCAGAAACAAGGAACAAGGGACAAAUUCAGACAUCAAGAUGGGAAACAAAAAAUCAAAAUCUCCCCUCACUCCCGACACUCAUGCAAAAGUACUGCGAGCGUUUGAGAAGUUCGAUGUUGAUGGCUCCAAAACGAUAGAUAAGGAAGAAACGCUAAAUCAUUGGAGUAGCAAUUUUGGGAAACUCAACACAAAAG